rnacentral:tRNA from 1 species
GCCGAAGUGGCGGAACUGGCAGACGCGCGCGACUCAAAAUCGCGUUCCCUCGGGAGUGUGGGUUCGACUCCCACCUUCGGCACCU